rnacentral:rRNA from 1 species
CGGACGGGUGAGUAACACGUGGAUAACCUACCUAUAAGACUGGGAUAACUUCGGGAAACCGGAGCUAAUACCGGAUAAUAUAUUGAACCGCAUGGUUCAAUAGUGAAAGACGGUUUUGCUGUCACUUAUAGAUGGAUCCGCGCCGCAUUAGCUAGUUGGUAAGGUAACGGCUUACCAAGGCAACGAUGCGUAGCCGACCCGAGAGGGUGAUCGGCCACACUGGAACUGAGACACGGUCCAG